ACCGCAUAUUCUGUGAGCAGGAAAGCAGGGGAUCGCAAGACCUUGCGCUGAUUGAGCGGCCGAUAUCAGAUUCGCUAGUUGGUGAGGUAAAGGCUCACCAAGGCGACGAUCUGUAGCGGGUCUGAGAGGAUGAUCCGCCACACUGGAACUGAGACACGGUCCAGACUCCUACGGGAGGCAGCAGUGGGGAAUUUUGGACAAUGGGCGCAAGCCUGAUCCAGCCAUGCCGCGUGAGUGAAGAAGGUCUUCGGAUUGUAAAGCUCUUUCGGCCGGGAAGAAAUCGCACAGGUUAAUACCCUGUGUGGAUGACGGUACCGGAAUAAGAAGCACCGGCUAACUACGUG
rnacentral:rRNA from 1 species